UACGUAGGGGGCAAGCGUUGUCCGGAUUUAUUGGGCGUAAAGAGCGUGUAGGCGGCCAUACAGGUCCGUUGUGAAAACUGGAGGCUUAACCUCCAGACGUCGAUGGAAACCGUAUGGCUAGAGUCCGGAAGAGGAGAGUGGAAUUCCUGGUGUAGCGGUGAAAUGCGUAGAUAUCAGGAGGAACACCGGUGGCGAAAGCGGCUCACUGGACCGUUACUGACGCUGAGGUGCGAAAGCUAGGGGAGCAAACGGG
rnacentral:rRNA from 1 species